GACUCGGUGGCGGAUGGUCCGCGUCUGCCAAUAUGUUGAGAGAAACAACCCUUACGAUGCGGAAGGUGUCGGUUCGAUUCCGGUUCGAGUCA